rnacentral:rRNA from 1 species
GACGAACGCUGGCGGCGUGCUUAACACAUGCAAGUCGAACGGUAAGGCCCUUCGGGGUACACGAGUGGCGAACGGGUGAGUAACACGUGGGUGAUCUGCCCUGCACUUCGGGAUAAGCCUGGGAAACUGGGUCUAAUACCGGAUAGGACCACUGCCUGCAUGGGUGGUGGUGGAAAGCUUUUGCGGUGUGGGAUGGGCCCGCGGCCUAUCAGCUUGUUGGGGGGGUGAUGGCCUACCAAGGCGACGCCGGGUAGCCGGCCUGAGAGGGUGACCGGCCACACUGGGACUGAGAUACGGCCCAGACUCCUACGGGAGGCAGCAGUGGGGAAUAUUGCACAAUGGGCGCAAGCCUGAUGCAGCGACGCCGCGUGAGGGAUGACGGCCUUCGGGUUGUAAACCUCUUUCAGCACCGACGAAGCGCAAGUGACGGUAGGUGCAGAAGAAGGACCGGCCAACUACGUGCCAGCAGCCGCCGCAG